rnacentral:rRNA from 1 species
CCUACGGGAGGCAGCAGUGGGGAAUAUUGCACAAUGGGGGGAACCCUGAUGCCGCAACGCCGCGUGGGUGAAGAAGUACUUCGGUAUGUAAAGCCCUGUCAGCAGGGAAGAAAAUGACGGUACCUGACCAAGAAGCCCCGGCUAACUACGUGCCAGCAGCCGCGGUAAUACGUAGGGGGCAAGCGUUAUCCGGAUUUACGGGGUGUAAAGGGAGCGUAGACGGCAAGGCAAGUCUGGAGUGAAAGCCCGUGGCUCAACCACGGGACUGCUUUGGAAACUGUGUUGCUGGAGUGCAGGAGGGGUAAGCGGAAUUCCGAGUGUAGCGGUGAAAUGCGUAGAUAUUAGGAGGAACACCGGUGGCGAAGGCGGCUUACUGGACUGUAACUGACGUUGAGGCUCGAAGGCGUGGGGAGCAAACAGGAUUAGAUACCCCAGUAGUC